rnacentral:rRNA from 1 species
CCGAUGAAUGUGUGAUCAUUAAUUGACCAGUGUGAACUGUCCAACAAGUCUUUAGGGGUCGGCACAGGUAGAAGUGGUCGUUAAAUGGUGGAUAUUCCUUCCAGCAGCCCCGCCAUUGUGUGUUACUAUGCAUAUUGAACGUAAAAGACUGAGAGAACGUAUCUUCAUGAUCACCAUGAAAGGAAAAACUUUUAAAGAAAGAGACAAACAACUUUUGACGGUGGAUCUCUUGGCUCACGUAUCGAUGAAGAACGCAGCCAGCUGCGAUAUGUAGUGUGAAUUGCAGAAUUCAGUGAAUCAUUGAAUCUUUGAACGCAAAUGGCGCUCUUGGGUUCUCCCAGGAGCAUGUCUGUCUGAGUGUCGGAUUUUAUCGAACGCACACUCACGAGUGAGUGUGCGGUAUUGAGGUGUCACGGCGUGAAGAAUCAGUGUAUUAAUGAUCGCCGUGUCCCUUGAAGAGCAGCAGCAGCAGCAGCAUUCUCUAUUGAAACUUGAGUGCGAAGGCUAAAGAUAUUGCUAUUUUCCUUCGCUGCAGGUUGGUUUAGGGUUGUUGGGUUGCUGAAAAAGAGAAAGAAACAAAUGCAAUCAAUCUUGACCUCAGAUCAGGCAAGGCUACCCGCUGAAUUUAA